GACGAACGCUGGCGGCGUGCUUAACACAUGCAAGUCGAACGAUGAAGAAAAGACUCGAAGCUUCGGCAGAAAUUCAUUUCGGAUUAGUGGCAGACGGGUGAGUAACGCGUGAGCAACCUACCUCUUACAAAGGGAUAGCCUCGGGAAACCGGGAUUAAUACCAUAUAACAUUGCGACGAAGCAUUUCGCUGCAAUCAAAGCUAUGGCGGUAAGAGAUGGGCUCGCGUCCCAUUAACCGGGUGGUGAGGUAACGGCUCACCAUGGUGACGAUGGGUAACUGGUAUGAGAGGAUGGUCAGACAGAAUGGGACUGAGAAACGGCGCAGACUCCUACGGGAGGCAGCAGUGGGGAAUAGUGGAAAAUGGGCGAAAGCCUGAUCAAGCAAUGGCGCGUGAGUGAUGAAGGCCUUAGGGUUGUAAAGCUCUUUUACCCGGGAUGAUAAUGACAGUACCGGGAGAAUAAGCUCCGGCUAACUCCGUG
rnacentral:rRNA from 1 species